rnacentral:rRNA from 1 species
GACGAACGCUGGCGGCGUGCUUAACACAUGCAAGUCGAACGGAAAGGCCCUGCUUUUGUGGGGUGCUCGAGUGGCGAACGGAUGAGUAACACGUGAGUAACCUGCCCUUGACUUUGGGAUAACUUCAGGAAACUGGGGCUAAUACCGGAUAGGAGCUCCUGCUGCAUGGUGGGGGUUGGAAAGUUUCGGCGGUUGGGGAUGGACUCGCGGCUUAUCAGCUUGUUGGUGGGGUAGUGGCUUACCAAGGCUUUGACGGGUAGCCGGCCUGAGAGGGUGACCGGCCACAUUGGGACUGAGAUACGGCCCAGACUCCUACGGGAGGCAGCAGUGGGGAAUAUUGCACAAUGGGCGGAAGCCUGAUGCAGCAACGCCGCGUGCGGGAUGACGGCCUUCGGGUUGUAAACCGCUUUCGCCUGUGACGAAGCGUGAGUGACGGUAAUUGGUAAAGAAGCACCGGCUAACUACGUG